rnacentral:rRNA from 1 species
GGAGGAAUAUUGGUCAAUGGGCGCAAGCCUGAACCAGCCAUGCCGCGUGGAGGAUGAAGGCCCUCUGGGUUGUAAACUUCUUUUAUUUGGGAAGAAAAGCACGGUUUCUACUGUGUCCGACGGUACCAGAUGAAUAAGCACCGGCUAACUCCGUGCCAGCAGCCGCGGUAAUACGGAGGGUGCAAGCGUUAUCCGGAUUUACUGGGUUUAAAGGGUGUGUAGGCGGAUAUUUAAGUCAGAGGUGAAAUCU